rfam:Triticum aestivum genome assembly, contig: Triticum_aestivum_CS42_TGACv1_scaffold_393074_5AS
AUUCUACUCCCUCUGUUGCACAAUACAUGCCUUCUAUUUGUCAAAAUAUAUAUGUAUCUAGACAUGUCUUAGUAUAUAGGUACAUCCAUUUUUGGACAAAUGGAAGUCAAGUAUUUUGGAACGGAGGGAGUACACA